CUACCAUGUCCGGGGUCUGGGUUUUCAAGAAUGGUGUAUACCGCCUCGUUGAAAACCCCGGUGGCGAACCCCGCAGGAAGGUACUGGUCUACGUACCUACAGGCGAGGUGAUCUCCUCGUACGAGAUGCUGGAGAGGAAGCUUCGAGAGCUCGGGUGGGAGAGGUACCGAUGUGGUGAUGACCAACUGUUGCAGUUCCACAAGCAGUCAUCGGUGCAUCUUACUUCCGUGCCGAGGGAGUUCUCAAAGAUGAAGUCAAUGCAUAUGUACGAUAUCGUCGUGAAGAGUCGCAAUAUCUUCGAGGUAAGGGAAGCGUGAUCAACGUGCAGCUGUG
rnacentral:misc_RNA from 1 species